CACAUCAUUUUAGCGAGUGGAAAAAAGAAAAAAUUAUAUUUGGAACAAUCGCUUGUAAAAGUUGUAAAAAACGUGAACGCCGUGUACGCGGUUGCAGCCGCUAAAUAAAAAAAACGUCUUAAGUGUAUGGCAAUAUAUUAGCAAUAAGCCGUAUUGACUAAAUUUUAGUUGUGACAAUAGUUGACAUUACAGUCGAACAUUUUAAACAUUAUUUAACAUUAUGAACGAAACGAACACGCAAAACAUUCAAUAUUACAAUAUGCAUUUGAUGUUUAUCAAAUUCUAACACCGUUGAAAGUAAUAUAAAUAUCGAAUGGCCAUUACCAUUAGAUUCAUAAUCUCCGUCGGAAACGUGAAUUACAUUUGAUGUACGAUCACCGGAAAUCCCAUGACUCGUUAUAACUUCAGCUCCCCGGCUCCUCUCAAAAACCCUGGCUACGCCACUGCAGGGAAGGACGAAUAUUUAUCGGUACUGUACCGGUGGAAAAUACAGUACCCAGUGAGGAAAACGCAAGAAGAACAUUGAACGUGUUAUUGUCGCAAAGCGAAUUGUAUUUCUUUUAAACUCGAAAUAUCGAUUUUCCAACGCAAUCGUCCAAAUGAUAAAUUGUCAACUAUCGAAUAAAUGUGUUAACUUACUUUUUAAACUUUGUACGUUUUUGAUACUCGCUACUCUUUUUUGUUCAAAACGUGAAAGGUGAGGGCGGAAGCCUCCGAGACUGUUAGUGAAAACGGCGCAUAAAGUAUACUACGGAACAUACGAUUGGAAACCGUUGAUGUGCAUGAUAUUGUCGGCCCCGCAGUUUUAUUCUAAAAGCCGCGGCGGGCAACAUUGGUACGUAAAAAAAAAAAAAAAAAAAAAAAAAAAACGAAUAAAAAUUGAUUCGAAUCGGGUAUUAAUCGUAAUGACGUUCGCCGCAAUGUUUGUAACGCGCGUAAUACGAUCCGAACAAACGACGAGUCUCGGGGGACGGACGCGCGACGGCGAUAAUAAUAAUAAAAACAUGCAACAAUAACGACGCCG